rnacentral:tRNA from 1 species
GCUCGUGUGGCGGAACUGGCAGACGCAACGGACUUAAAAUCCGUCGAACUUAAACAUUCGUGCCGGUUCGAGUCCGGCCACGAGCACCA